GGCGGGCCGGCUGGGUGUUUCCGUUGCCUGGAGCUGGAGCAGCGGUCCGAGCGCCCUGCUGGCAUCCCUGACCGCCUCGCUGCGCGCCCGCACUCGCCGCUCUCCCGGAGGCUCCGGCUCCUAGUCCCUCUCUUUGGCCCACGUCCCAUGGACUCUUCUUCGGACCUGAGCAGUCGCCAUGGCGCAGUACGUUUUCCCAUCGAUGUCUGAAGUUUUUCAAUCAAUGCCUCUUAAUCGUGUAGACACUUGACCCAAGAGCAUCAGUGAGGGAAUUUUUUCCGGUGCGGACAUUAAUACCUUCAAAGAAUGGAACUAGUGUCAGGGCCCUUAUCUGUACAGAACAAGGGAGAAUGCUGGUUUGUAUUAUAAGAUUAUGUAUGUGAUUUCUAUGCCACCAUAACACCAGGCCUGUUUCCAAUCAAAGCCACAGUUUUUAGUUAUCAGGAAAGUUACAUCUGUUAAAGAUACGGUGUUGAAUUUGUACUGGCUUUGUCAUUAGUUAUCCUUGGAAGCCAUUCCAGCAAAACAUUUUGGUAAAAUAUCUAAUAUUGCGAUGGA